CCAUUCAUUUAAAGAGUGCGUAAUAGCUCACUAGUCAAGAGAUCCUGCGCCGAAAAUGUCCGGGGCUAAAACUUACCACCGAAGCUAUGGAUGUACUAUGUACAUGGUAGAGGAGCUUUCUGCAUUGGUUGAAGUCGUACCGAAAGGAGCGGUGGACGAUGCAGAAGUGAGAAUGUUGGCAUGAGUAGCGAGAAAUAGGUGAGAAUCCUAUUGGCCGAAUAUCUAAGGUUUCCUGAGGAAGGCUCGUCCUCUCAGGGUUAGUCGGGACCUAAGCCCAGGCCGAAAGGCGUAGGCGAUGGACAAUCGGUUGAUAUUCCGAUACCGCCAAACUUCGUUUGACAAAUGGGGUGACGCAGAAGGAUAGGAUAUGCACACUGUUGGAGUGUGUGUUCAAGCACUUAGGCAGGCUAAGCAGGCAAAUCCGUUUAGUCAAUGCUGAGGUGUUACGAGGAGCGAUUUUUUUCGCGAAGUAUCUGAUUCCACGCUGCCAAGAAAAGCCUCUAUGGAGAAGUUUGGYGCCCGUACCGCAAACCGACACAGGUAGAUGAGGAGAGAAUCCUAAGGCCGGCGGAAGAAUUGUUGUUAAGGAACUCGGCAAAUUGACCCCGUAACUUCGGGAGAAGGGGUGCCUAGCGAAAGCUAGGCCGCAGUGAAUAGGCCCAGGCAACUGUUUAACAAAAACACAGGUCUCUGCUAAAGCGUAAGCUGAUGUAUAGGGGCUGACGCCUGCCCGGUGCUGGAAGGUUAAGGGGAUCUGUAAGCGUAAGCGAAGCAGUGAACUUAAGCCCCAGUAAACGGCGGCC
rnacentral:rRNA from 1 species